rnacentral:rRNA from 1 species
GAUGAACGCUGGCGGCGUGCCUAACACAUGCAAGUCGAACGGAAAGACGAAGAUCUUGCCCUUUUUUCGUGAGCGGCGCGCGCGGGUGAAACAUGUGUAUAACACUCCUUUAUGACGGGGAUAAACUCGUGAAACCGGUGCCUAUACCGGAUUAACUCCUGAAGCCCAUGGUGGGUUAGUGAAAGACGGCUUUCCAGUCACUUUUCGCUGGUUCCGCGCUGGAUUAGGUAGUUGGUCAGGUAACGGCUUACCUAGGCGACGACGCGUAGGCGAACUGAGAGGAUGAUCGGCCACACUGGAACUGAGACACGGUCCAGACUCCUAAGGGAGGCAGCAGUGGGGAAUAUUCCGCAAUGGGCGAAAGCCUGAUGGAGCAAUGCCGCGUGUGUGAAGAAGGCCUUCGGGUCGUAAAGUACUUUUAGCGGGGAGGAACAGAUGUGUGAUAAAACAUGCACGUAUUGACGGUACCGGAUCAAGAAGCACCGGCUAACUCCGUG